rnacentral:rRNA from 4 species
GCCUGAUCAGGUUGAAGUCAGGGGAAACCCUGAUGGAAGACCGAAGCAGUUCUGACGUGCAAAUCGAUUGUCAGAAUUGGGCAUAGGGGCGAAAGACCAAUCGAACCAUCUAGUAGCUGGUUCCCUCCGAAGUUUCCCUCAGGAUAGCUGGUGCAUAUACCGUUUCAAUAAACUUAAUAAAUCUUAUCUGGUAAAGCGAAUGAUUAGAGGCAUUAGGUUCGAAACGUUCUUAACCUAUUCUCAAACUAUAAAUGGGUACGAUAUAAGAGUUUCUUGAUUGAACUCUUAUUUCACGCUUUUGGCGUACCAUAUCAAACAUUUUGGUGUUUGUAAUUUGGUUUAGAUUUAUUGUGCCCAGUGGGCCAAG